GUGUUCUCUCUUGGCAUCCCGUGUACCCAAAGUAGAAUGAUACAGAAAAUGUUAAUAUGGUCCCUGCUCAUGAAUGACAUGCAACUUUAUGAAGCAUUCCAUAUUUUC